rnacentral:rRNA from 1 species
GCGAAGCAUCUGCCAAGGAUGUUUUCAUUAAUCAAGAACGAAAGUUAGGGGAUCGAAGACGAUCAGAUACCGUCGUAGUCUUAACCAUAAACGAUGCCGACCAGCGAUUAGGAGACGUUGAAUACAAAACACCACCAUCGGCGCGGUCGUCCUUGGCGUCUCGGUCCUUCACGGGGCCGGGGCGCGGGGGCGGCUUAGCCCGGUGGCACCGGUGAAUGACUCCCCU